rnacentral:rRNA from 1 species
CGAAUGGGGAAACCCAGUGUGAUUCGUCACACUAUCAUUAACUGAAUCCAUAGGUUAAUGAGGCGAACCGGGGGAACUGAAACAUCUAAGUACCCCGAGGAAAAGAAAUCAACCGAGAUUCCCCCAGUAGCGGCGAGCGAACGGGGAGCAGCCCAGAGCCUGAAUCAGUGUGUGUGUUAGUGGAAGCGUCUGGAAAGGCGCGCGAUACAGGGUGACAGCCCCGUACACAAAAAUGCACAUGCUGUGAGCUCGAUGAGUAGGGCGGGACACGUGGUAUCCUGUCUGAAUAUGGGGGGACCAUCCUCCAAGGCUAAAUACUCCUGACUGACCGAUAGUGAACCAGUACCGUGAGGGAAAGGCGAAAAGAACCCCGGCGAGGGGAGUGAAAAAGAACCUGAAACCGUGUACGUACAAGCAGUGGGAGCACAGAGCAAUCUGUGUGACUGCGUACCUUUUGUAUAAUGGGUCAGCGACUUAUAUUCUGUAGCAAGGUUAACCGAAUAGGGGAGCCGAAGGGAAACCGAGUCUUAACUGGGCGUUAAGUUGCAGGGUAUAGACCCGAAACCCGGUGAUCUAGCCAUGGGCAGGUUGAAGGUUGGGUAACACUAACUGGAGGACCGAACCGACUAAUGUUGAAAAAUUAGCGGAUGACUUGUGGCUGGGGGUGAAAGGCCAAUCAAACCGGGAGAUAGCUGGUUCUCCCCGAAAGCUAUUUAGGUAGCGCCUCGUGAAUUCAUCUCCGGGGGUAGAGCACUGUUUCGGCAAGGGGGUCAUCCCGACUUACCAACCCGAUGCAAACUGCGAAUACCGGAGAAUGUUAUCACGGGAGACACACGGCGGGUGCUAACGUCCGUCGUGAAGAGGGAAACAACCCAGACCGCCAGCUAAGGUCCCAAAGUCAUGGUUAAGUGGGAAACGAUGUGGGAAGGCCCAGACAGCCAGGAUGUUGGCUUAGAAGCAGCCAUCAUUUAAAGAAAGCGUA